rnacentral:rRNA from 1 species
CCGUAGGUGAACCUGCGGAGGGAUCAUUACACAAAUAUGAAGGCGGGCUGGAACCUCUCGGGGUUACAGCCUUGCUGAAUUAUUCACCCUUGUCUUUUGCGUACUUCUUGUUUCCUUGGUGGGUUCGCCCACCACUAGGACAAACAUAAACCUUUUGUAAUUGCAAUCAGCGUCAGUAACAAAUUAAUAAUUACAACUUUCAACAACGGAUCUCUUGGUUCUGGCAUCGAUGAAGAACGCAGCGAAAUGCGAUAAGUAGUGUGAAUUGCAGAAUUCAGUGAAUCAUCGAAUCUUUGAACGCACAUUGCGCCCUUUGGUAUUCCAAAGGGCAUGCCUGUUCGAGCGUCAUUUGUACCCUCAAGCUUUGCUUGGUGUUGGGCGUCUUGUCUCUAGCUUUGCUGGAGACUCGCCUUAAAGUAAUUGGCAGCCGGCCUACUGGUUUCGGAGCGCAGCACAAGUCGCACUMWCUAGGGUCAGCAAAGGUCUAGCAUCCAUUAAGCCUUUUUUUCAACUUUUGACCUCGGAUCAGGUAGGGAUACCCGCUGAACUUAAGCAUAUCAAUAAGCGGAGG